ensembl:lncRNA
AUAUAUUUUGUUAUAUGAAUAUCUGAACAUACAAAACAACCAAAGAAAGAACAGAAAACAUUUUAUUCUAGCAUUACAUCUACAUGGGUCUUCUAUUUAAGUUACACAGUUUUGAGUUACACAGCGCCCCUCUACCAUAUAACAAUGAAAACAUGGAUUCCCGAAGCAUAGCUCAAAUAUAUUUAGAGUUUUUCUAAGUAUAAGUCAAGUAUACUUAAAUGUCAUUUUAAGUAUAUAUCUGAAGAGUACAUAAAGCCCAUUUCUGAGAAGUACAUAAAAAGUAAACUAAAAGCAUACUUUCAUAUUUUAAGUUUAAAAGAAGUAUACUAAUAGCACACUUGUAUGAACUUCUUUUUCGUAAGGGUAAAGAAACAAUCAGAAAAAGCGAAGUAGUCAGGUGAAAAUGAAGCACCAUUGUAAGAGGGUGGGCCUUUUACAAAAUGUCAAAAAGAGAAUGAAGACAAACCAGUUUAGAAAACAUCAGCUUUUCCCGGUCAGCAGAUGUACACAAGUCUAGUUAGCGACAUAGAAAGCUAGCACUGUAUCAGACAAAGACUUGUUUCUCUGAGUAAAAAAAAAAAUAAUAUCUCACUUUUCUUCUGAGCACAUUGUAAAACAACUACAGCUGCUCUUAGGAAAAAGGCAUCAUGGAUAGCUCCACAUCAGUGUCGAUUGGGAUAGCCGUGGCGUUUGGGAUCUUGGGAUUGUUCGUGCUGAUCUGUUUGGUGCAGCUCUGCAUCAAGAAAAUCAAAUGUUGCGAUUGCAAAAGUAAGCAGCAUCUUCAUUCCUUACUAACAAACCAGCAUUCAUUAAAGUCCUUGAACUAGUAGACAACUAUGCAAGUAAACAGUGAGGAUUUUUUCUUUCUUUCUUUUCUUUGACAGAGCCUUCAGUGAAAGACAAAAUUUUAAAGUAAGUAAUAACUUACUGAUAUUUUUUUGCGUUUAUGUGUGGAAUCAUUUUCAUCAUGGCUUAUUUCAGUUGUGUAUAUCUUUACAGGAAAGUUGGGAUUACAAAAUCUUCACCUCCGUUUUCAAUCAGCAGACUCGUUGACAAGAAAUAACGGCCAUCAAUGCUCAUAUGACAUUCUCUCAAUGUAAAUACAUAGUGUACAUACCCACCUUUUUUAUUUUACAACACCUGUAACUAAAUAUUUCCAUAUUAUUAUGAAAUCUGUCAAUUAUUAUUUUUUAUUUCUGUGAAAAGUGUGAAUAACGUUUCUGAGGUAAAGAUGUCAGUGAUGUUAGGGAUGUUGAUGAGUCAUAACUGUUUAAGAUCAUUUUCCCACAGCUAGGGAAAAAACAGCACACCUUCAUUGCUCUAUGCGAUCGCUUCUCUUGUUGUUUUUCUUAUUCUCUGACAUUCUGUGAAUUUUGUCACUGUUUCAGUGUCACCACAGAAACAUAACACAGCCUUCUUCUCAAGCCAAACUGUUUCUAAGUAAAAAAUAAUGUCAAAGGUCACCAUAUGCACUGAUGAAAUAUUAGUCUCUUCAGUCGCAGUAGAAAGAUCACAAUAUCUUCAUUGUGAUUUAUAAGUCCUCUCUGGUGAUAUAUUUCCUGUUAAGCAACAUUAUGUAUGUGAUGAAAUAUUGAUCUUGACUCUAUAAUAAUAUCUGAUUGUAAUUUUUUUAAAGGAAUAUGUAGUCAUAUUUGGUCAGAUUUAUUAGUCUAGUAUAUUAUCCUCUGUACAUAUGUGUGUGUGUGUGUGUGUGUGUGCAUGUGUCUUCAAAUAUUAUCCUUUAUUAGUUGUUUAAUGUUAUUUUUCAGUUCAACUUUCCACUCAAAUUGUUUUGUUCAUAUUCUAUAAAAAAAUAUUCAAUUUAUA